GGUUUAAGAGGCCCGAACUACCGUAAAAGCUGGUCUUUAAGUGCAUGUCGACCCAUAUGCGCAUAUGGUUGCUGGUUUUUCCCUUCUAUCUAAUGGGUUUAUCUUUUUUUUAUAGUGAUUCUUCUCCAAGACAUGGUAAGAGUGGCGCUCGGUGAAAUUGCAGAAAGAACGGACUGUGUACAUGGAAACCCCCUCUUGGAGGGUGAAGAGAGAGUCUGUGUAACUCAACUCACAAACGGAGAACUUAGACGUGACGGGUAUGACAUUGAGGAGGGUGGAUUUUGUAGUUGUACUUAUUGUGUUUCAUUUUGGCUAGUUGAGUUUACCAUUGUUUAUUCCAUUCCUAAAAGGCAUUAACAAAAUUGAACAAUAGUUAUGUACUGGGACCCCAUGAUGGAAAUGCUGUGCUUGCAAGAGAUAUGAAGCAAACCACAAUGAAGCCCUGAAAACAAUGGGAGAAGAGGAAUUCAAGAGGGGCUUGGCACUGACUAGGUAGCCUUAUAGUAAAAUACUAGUAUAACCUGUUUGGUUGUCUGGUUUGAUGUCUGACAACUGCUCUACUGUUUGGUGGCUUCGCGUUGUGCUGAAGUUGUUUGACUGGUGAGUAGUUUGUUCAUAGUGGAAAGUAUGCCAUUCCUUGAAGAGAAACAUGUGCAACUUUUGAGAUCAGGCGGCCUUGUUGGAAAAGUGCGGCUUUCCACUGAUAUGUCUCAAGAUGACUAUAAAUUAUGGCCACAGUGUCAUCACAUCCAAGGGUAUAGGUGGGUAUGCAGAAGCAAAGGAAACACAACAUUUUUUGUAAGACAGAGUCUUGAUACCUAAAUCAGACGCGUGAGCAGAGAUAUAGAGCAAUCGCCUAAGGUACAUAAAUACUUCCUAAGAUGAAGACUUAUACUGACUGAACUACUUCUAUAUGCAGACGAGUGCACGAGUUGCACAGAUAUACAAGGAGUUGCUGUAAUUUUCUUACACUUUGUGGUGUAGUUCAAAAAAGUUCGAAAUAUGGAAAAAGACGAAGUUACAGUAGAAAUCUAAAAGUUGAACAUUAUAAAUUAUAAAUGUCAGGCCAUAUUAGGAUGCCAAGUUGUAUUACCAUCACUAGGCACUUGUGAAAAGAAAAUUAAAGAAACUGCAUGCUAUGCAGGUCAUCAAGAGAUUGCGACUUACUUGAGGAGGUUCGAUGUAGCACUGAUGCCGUUCUCUUACAAGGGGGAGAAUGUCCCAGUCUGGCUUUAAACGUCAAGUUCCUGGCAUGGCAGCUCCGGGACAUGGGUUUCUGUCGGUGGAAUUGUAACAGAGUAUUCCCAAUAGUUCCUCCCAUUCCUCCAGCAGCAGGUGUAAUAGGUCCGGCAGGUCCACCUGGGGCGCAGGGUCUACCUGGGGCACAGGGCAUACAAGGUCCACCAGGACCAAUUGCGCCACAGGGACAACAAGGCCAAA